rfam:Salmo salar isolate Sally breed double haploid chromosome ssa12, whole genome shotgun sequence.
AAUUAGUUCAACUGUAAGUCGCUCUGGAUAACAGCGUCUGCUAAAUGACGUAAA